UACAGAGGUCUCAAGCGUUGUUCGGAAUCACUGGGCGUAAAGGGUGCGUAGGCCGCACGGUAAGUCAGAUGUGAAAGCCCGGAGCUCAACUCCGGAACUGCAUCCGAUACUGCCGUGCUUGAGGACUGGAGAGGAGUCUGGAAUUCACAGUGGAGCAGUGAAAUGCGUAGAUAUUGUGAGGAACACUAGUGGCGAAGGCGAGACUCUGGACAGUUCCUGACGCUGAGGCACGAAGGCCAGGGGAGCAAACGGGG
rnacentral:rRNA from 1 species